GACUCGUCACACUAUCAUUAACUGAAUCCAUAGGUUAAUGAGGCGAACCGGGGGAACUGAAACAUCUAAGUACCCCGAGGAAAAGAAAUCAACCGAGAUUCCCCCAGUAGCGGCGAGCGAACGGGGAGGAGCCCAGAGCCUGAAUCAGCAUGUGUGUUAGUGGAAGCGUCUGGAAAGGCGCGCGAUACAGGGUGACAGCCCCGUACACAAAAGCGCAUGUGCUGUGAGCUCGAUGAGUAGGGCGGGACACGUGGUAUCCUGUCUGAAUAUGGGGGGACCAUCCUCCAAGGCUAAAUACUCCUGACUGACCGAUAGUGAACCAGUACCGUGAGGGAAAGGCGAAAAGAACCCCGGCGAGGGGAGUGAAAAAGAACCUGAAACCGUGUACGUACAAGCAGUGGGAGCACCCUUUGGGGUGUGACUGCGUACCUUUUGUAUAAUGGGUCAGCGACUUAUAUUCUGUAGCAAGGUUAACCGAAUAGGGGAGCCGGAGGGAAACCGAGUCUUAAUUGGGCGUUAAGUUGCAGGGUAUAGACCCGAAACCCGGUGAUCUAGCCAUGGGCAGGUUGAAGGUUGGGUAACACUAACUGGAGGACCGAACCGACUAAUGUUGAAAAAUUAGCGGAUGACCUGUGGCUGGGGGUGAAAGGCCAAUCAAACCGGGAGAUAGCUGGUUCUCCCCGAAAGCUAUUUAGGUAGCGCCUCGUGAAUUCAUCUCCGGGGGUAGAGCACUGUUUCGGCUAGGGGGCCAUCCCGGCUUACCAACCCGAUGCAAACUGCGAAUACCGGAGAAUGUUAUCACGGGAGACACACGGCGGGUGCUAACGUCCGUCGUGAAGAGGGAAACAACCCAGACCGCCAGCUAAGGUCCCAAAGUCAUGGUUAAGUGGGAAACGAUGUGGGAAGGCCCAGACAGCCAGGAUGUUGGCUUAGAAGCAGCCAUCAUUUAAAGAAAGCGUAAUAGCUCACUGGUCGAGUCGGCCUGCGCGGAAGAUGUAACGGGGCUAAACCAUGCACCGAAGCUGCGGCAGCGACACUCAGGUGUUGUUGGGUAGGGGAGCGUUCUGUAAGCCUGUGAAGGUGUGCUGUGAGGCAUGCUGGAGGUAUCAGAAGUGCGAAUGCUGACAUAAGUAACGAUAAAGCGGGUGAAAAGCCCGCUCGCCGGAAGACCAAGGGUUCCUGUCCAACGUUAAUCGGGGCAGGGUGAGUCGACCCCUAAGGCGAGGCCGAAAGGCGUAGUCGAUGGGAAACGGGUUAAUAUUCCCGUACUUGGUGUUACUGCGAAGGGGGGACGGAGAAGGCUAUGUUGGCCGGGCGACGGUUGUCCCGGUUUAAGCGUGUAGGUGUGUGUUCCAGGUAAAUCCGGUUCACUUUAACACUGAGGCGUGACGACGAGGCACUACGGUGCUGAAGCAACAAAUGCCCUGCUUCCAGGAAAAGCCUCUAAGCAUCAGGUAACAUCAAAUCGUACCCCAAACCGACACAGGUGGUCAGGUAGAGAAUACCAAGGCGCUUGAGAGAACUCGGGUGAAGGAACUAGGCAAAAUGGUGCCGUAACUUCGGGAGAAGGCACGCUGACAUGUAGGUGAAGUGAUUUACUCAUGGAGCUGAAGUCAGUCGAAGAUACCAGCUGGCUGCAACUGUUUAUUAAAAACACAGCACUGUGCAAACACGAAAGUGGACGUAUACGGUGUGACGCCUGCCCGGUGCCGGAAGGUUAAUUGAUGGGGUCAGCGCAAGCGAAGCUCCUGAUCGAAGCCCCGGUAAACGGCGGCCGUAACUAUAACGGUCCUAAGGUAGCGAAAUUCCUUGUCGGGUAAGUUCCGACCUGCACGAAUGGCGUAAUGAUGGCCAGGCUGUCUCCACCCGAGACUCAGUGAAAUUGAACUCGCUGUGAAGAUGCAGUGUACCCGCGGCAAGACGGAAAGACCCCGUGAACCUUUACUAUAGCUUGACACUGAACAUUGAGCCUUGAUGUGUAGGAUAGGUGGGAGGCUUUGAAGUGUGG
rnacentral:rRNA from 1 species